AAAAAAAUAAGAAUAAUCUCUUUCAAACAACUGUGAUAAAGUUUUAUAGAGUAUGGAGAUGUUGGCAAAAAGGAAACAAAAAUCAAAGUAAAGAAAGAGGCACUCAAGUAGGAGGGGGAAUUAAAGGAGGCAAUUGUAUUAUGUCCAGCAAGGAUUAGGUAGGAAGUCCUAUUGUGAGCUAUUAAAAAUUUCCCUAUAAUUGGUAUUUCAGGCAAACCAAGGUUGAAUUUUUAAGUGGAUUUGUCUUUUGAUAUGACUUAAAGAAUUGAAUAUGUCAUUUAUCUUUUUCUGGUUUGAGCAUUAAAAAAUCACACGUUCAAAGUAAGCAUACCAUUGCUGAGACCGUAUUUAGGUGAAAGAAGGAUGGGGCCUCUGUUCUAUUUUCUCACUCAAUUAUUUCAUCUUCAGAGCUCCUUCCACAUAACAAUACAUAACAGUAUAUUUUCUAAAUUAAUAAAAAUUCUGGUGUAUUUUUUUGCAGCUGAUAAUGAUUGAAAAAGUUGUCUAUCUGAGACAAAUUUCUCUUUCAUCUGAAGGAAUGACUUUAUUAGAUACUGUUACCAUUCUGUCUCAAACACUCCUGGAGAAUUCAAAUGUUUGCAGAUAAAGAAAAGAAAAUUCUCAGAAAUCAGUGCUUCUUCUCAGUGUCUUUUCUAAGAGUAAAAAUAUUACAGGUAUCAUUUUAUAGAUGGUUCAAUGAAAGACAAUAUAUCAUAGAAUUGCUUACCAGAAAUGAGAAAUAAACCAUAAUGAUUUUUUUCUUCACUUAAGAUGGUUUCAAUGCUAUGGAACAGCUUCAGUAGGUUCUCCAGGUUUUUCUGUAAGUCAGGAGUGCUCUGCUGCAUGGGGAUUGAAAUCUGACUACCACAUAUGCUCAAUCAAAGAUGAAGACAUCUAAAUGAAUAAACAGUGCCAUCUUCAUCUCCUUUUAUCUUAUGGAAUUAGCAAUGAAUAGCAUAAAAGAUAAUGAAAUGUAUUGUGUUAUCUGUAUUUACUUAUUUAAGUAUCUGUCAACUGAUGCUUCAUGAUCCUGUGUGUUAUUAACUCUAACCAGCAUUGGAAAAUGUGAGAAUGCAGACAGCUUUAUAUGGUUUUAUUUGGGGAGAUAGUUAGCUAACAAGGGACUGCUUGAGUCAUGCAAUAAUUUGGUUCCAACGUCUUAAUUGCCCUUCUUUUUUGUAUUUUCAGUCCUGGCCAUAUCAACUAACAUUUUCUAUAAAGUGUACUAGAGCUCUACUUUUUGCUCACCUUUGCUGAUGACCUGCAUUGCUUAUUAAGUAUAUUUGUAACAUCUUAGUGCAUUUGAAGUAGCAAGGCUUCAUGAUUUUGAUUCAUUUUUCCUGAUAAUACCUAAUAUUUGCUGUUAUGUUUUCAAAAGUUUUAUGUCCUGUCCUGUGUGGACAAAACGUCAGUUCAGAGAUUCUGUCUGCUUUGCCAUCUAUAUAUUGUUGUACUAUUGCGUUUUAUAUACAUGUUACUCAGCAUAAAAAGGGAAAUGGGGUCUGCAGUAUAGAAAAUAUUAAGCAGUGAUGUUUUGGUAAGUAAAAUAAGCCAGAUACAGAAAGAGUAUUUUGUAACUAUGUUAUAUGUGAGACGCUUU
rnacentral:lncRNA from 1 species